UUAACUUGGAGUCCGAACUCUCACUUUCUAACCCUGUGCACUUGUUUGGGAUAGUAACUCUCGCAAGAGAGCGAACUCCUAUUCACUUAUAAACACAAAGUCUAUGAAUGUAUUAAAUUUUAUAACAAAAUAAAACUUUCAACAACGGAUCUCUUGGCUCUCGCAUCGAUGAAGAACGCAGCGAAAUGCGAUAAGUAAUGUGAAUUGCAGAAUUCAGUGAAUCAUCGAAUCUUUGAACGCACCUUGCGCUCCAUGGUAUUCCGUGGAGCAUGCCUGUUUGAGUGUCAUGAAUACUUCAACCCUCCUCUUUCUUAAUGAUUGAAGAGGUGUUUGGUUUCUGAGCGCUGCUGGCCUUUACGGUCUAGCUCGUUCGUAAUGCAUUAGCAUCCGCAAUCGAACUUCGGAUUGACUUGGCGUAAUAGACUAUUCGCUGAGGAAUUCUAGUCUUCGGAUUAGAGCCGGGUUGGGUUAAAGGAAGCUUCUAAUCAGAAUGUCUACAUUUUAAGAUUAGAUCUCAAAUCAGGUAGGACUACCCGCUGAACUUAAGCAUAUCAAUAAG
rnacentral:rRNA from 1 species